rnacentral:rRNA from 1 species
AUUGAACGCUGGCGGAAUGCUUUACACAUGCAAGUCGAACGGCAGCACGGGGGCAACCCUGGUGGCGAGUGGCGAACGGGUGAGUAAUACAUCGGAACGUGCCCAGUCGUGGGGGAUAACGUAGCGAAAGUUACGCUAAUACCGCAUACGAUCUACGGAUGAAAGCGGGGGGCCGUAAGGCCUCGCGCGAUUGGAGCGGCCGAUGUCAGAUUAGGUAGUUGGUGAGGUAAAGGCUCACCAAGCCGACGAGCUGUAGCUGGUCUGGGAGGACGACCAGCCACACUGGGACUGAGACACGGCCCAGACUCCUACGGGAGGCAGCAGUGGGGAAUUUUGGACAAUGGGCGCAAGCCUGAUCCAGCCAUUCCGCGUGCAGGACGAAGGCCUUCGGGUUGUAAACUGCUUUUGUACGGAACGAAAAGGCUCUGGUUAAUACCUGGGGCUCAUGACGGUACCGUAAGAAUAAGCACCGGCUAACUACGUGCCAGCCGCCGCGGUAA